ACACCCUGUCCCCACUGUGUCAUCAGAGGGCAGGAAUUCAAAAAAAAAAAGUAUCUGUUCUUAUCAGCUUAAUAUCUGAUAUGCGCCCAAGGGCGCUCAAAUAUUAAACUGAUUUUUGGAACUAGCUUGUCGGCAUGAGGCUUGCCUCACCGCGAGCACGGGUUGCCCUGGCAUUGCAGCCCCUUUUCA